UACGUAGGGGGCUAGCGUUGUCCGGAAUCAUUGGGCGUAAAGAGCGUGUAGGCGGCUCGGUAAGUCUGCUGUGAAAGUCCAGGGCUCAACCCUGGGAUGCCGGUGGAUACUGUCGAGCUCGAGUCCGGAAGAGGCGAGUGGAAUUCCUGGUGUAGCGGUGAAAUGCGUAGAUAUCUGGAGGAACACCGGUGGCGAAGGCGGCAUCCUGGACCGGUAUUGACGCUGAGGCGCGAAAGCCAGGGGAGCAAACGGG
rnacentral:rRNA from 1 species